rnacentral:rRNA from 1 species
GCCUACGGGGGGCAGCAGUGAGGAAUAUUGGUCAAUGGGAGAGAUCCUGAACCAGCCAAGCCGCGUGAGGGAUGACGGCCCUACGGGUUGUAAACCUCUUUUGUCGGGGAGCAAGACCCGCCUCGUGCAGGCGGAGCGAGAGUACCCGUAGAACAAGCAUCGGCUAACUCCGUGCCAGCAGCCGCGGUAAUACGGAGGAUGCGAGCGUUAUCCGGAUUUAUUGGGUUUAAAGGGUGCGCAGGCGGCACGGCAAGCCGGCGGUCAAAUCGCGGGGCUCAACCCCGCCCAGCCGUCGGAACUGCCGG